CAACCAGGAAGCACUGAAGGGACCCGGGCCAAGAUCGUGGGCAGCGUGAUCCCACCCGCUAAGCCUUCACUUUUCUCCUCUCAGGAUGUGGUGCUGUCGAGGGGCCACGGGGCAAGCACGAGCAUCUUCCUGAGAAGAGAGGCACCCUGGCUCCCUCGACAUUUGACAGUGCACCUCAGGGAGGGCUGACCCUGCUCAGAAGUCGUCCAUCCCGUUCCCAGGUGGAACCGGCAGCACGUCAGCUGCCAGCAGAGAGGGAGCAGUGCAAACCUACGCACAGGAAGUUGGGCAGGAUGUGCUUGGGCCCUGGCCUGCCAAGAUUCCAAGGAAAGCCUGAGCAUAUUUCAGGAGUGGGAAGGACACUGUGCAGAGCCUGGGCCUGUUUCUAGGAGAAGGAGAGGAGAUAUUCCCAAUGUGGAGAAGGCGAGACAGGCUGGACGAUUCUUUCCCCGCUCUGUCUUUUGGGAGAGGUUUCCCUUUGUCAUGACGCUGCGCACUUGGUGUAAGCAGAUCCAGAUGCUGAGGACAUGCCCAGCCUCACCUGGCUCCCCUCAAGGCUGCGGUGUGCCCAUCUAGUUUUCUUAAGCAAUCAGCGCCAGACAGCUGAGACAGAUGCGCAGCAUUCUCCCCAGGUCAAGAGAGCGAGUUGGGCACCUAGAGGGAUCUCUAGGGCAGCGAGACAUCUGCAUGCUUUCUAGUGUGUCCUGACUACGAUGUGGGGAAGGAGCAUCUCAGUGUAGUUUUGAUUACAUUUCUCUUGACUUUCCUUGUGUACGAGAGGCAGUUAUUUCUGUUUCCGUCUCUACCUCCCCUGCCGGUCCUGCUGUGGAGUGGUUGGUCUUUUCGUCAUUAAUGUGCAGUAAUGCAACAGGAAGUGAAGACACCAUCUGCUUUGAUUCUGAUGUGUGGUGCAAGUAUAUUUCAUGCUUGGUCCUCCUUUUUAAAUUUUAUUCAUCUUUUCCUUUUUUGACCUACAGAUUUCUUCUAUCUAUCUGUAUACGGUCAGCAUAUUAAUCUUUUGUUUUAUGGUGUCUUAACGUUUACUCACACUUCUAAUCUGCACUCCAAAAUUACUCCUUUUUCUAACUCCUAUGUUUCCUUCUAGAUGUUUCAUGGUUUAACUUUUAGCGGGUUUGUGUUUUAUAUUUAAAUGCUCAGUUCAGCCCUGUCAAAUUUUGGAGCUACUUGGUCUUACUUCUGUCCUAUUUUCUACAUGUUUUCUCUUUUACUGCCUGGUUUAUAGUUUGUGUGUUCUUCAUCUUGGGUGCAUGUGCUGCUGCUGAUUAUUUCGGUUCUGGCUCAUCUUGCCGUUGCCCUCGUAACACUACUGCUCUGCGGGGUAACGUAGCUCAGAUUAGGCAGAACUUACUACUCCACCCGAAGCACCGCCACUUUCUCUACCUCCCUCCAUUACCCAAUUUUAGUUUAUCAUGUUAUUUAAAAAAUUCUCUGGGUUAGCUUCUGUCCUUUUAAUACUACUUGAUUUUCUCAGCUUUGAAUGAUUUCUUUUGACCCCCAGGACUCAGUGCUGUGAUCUCCGAGGUGUUCAACUUGUCACCAGGAGCUGGUGAGAUAGUUUAUUUGAAAGGAAAAUCCAAAAGCGUACUUAAAAAAUCAUUAGACUGGGAGGCAUGAGCCGUUAUGGCAUGAGCCAAAUGACCUAACGUUGUCAGCUAAAGCCGAGGGGUGUCCUCAGGGUCAGAUUGCACAGGAAACAGCGCAGCCCUGGCCUCCCUCUCCACGGGGCGUCUCAGGGGCUCUGGGUCAGCCUAAGCAGAGUGUCACAGGGAGGAGCCCGUCUGGAACGAUGCACUCAUCCAUGCACUCAUUCAUUCAGAGUACGUUGAUCGAGUGCCUACUGUGACGUGCGAGGGAUGCAGGAUGAACAAACCGGGCCCCUCCCUCACCACCCGCCCCCGCCUUGCACAGGGCUGGGGCCUUCUAGUGGGGUACAGCCAGCACGCAAUCAGACGUGGGUAAGGAGUCAAGUAGGUAAAUGCUAUGAACAAGAAUACAUAAAGGCGGGGGCUCCAGAUGGAUGGCGCUGACGUUUGGAGCAGGGAGCUCAGGAAAGUAGCCCCAGGAGGUGACGUUGGAGCUCUGGGUGUCCAGAGGUCAUAGAACGGGUUUGACUGAUGUGACAUCUUAGAGUGAGUAACAAAACUUGCUGGAAGAACUAAGUUCCAGCUUCUUCACAGCAGGUCUUAUGUAACAUCUGGCUUCCCAAAACAGGAGAUGGUCAGAAAGAAAGAGUGGACUAGGCAUAGGGAGCCCACCAGGGAAGGGUCCUAGGUCAGCAGACGCCAGUCCAGGGAACACUCUAGAUCAGUGCCACUGGACAGGCUCCGGGCUGGCCUGGCAGCAUCCGGCCUGGUCAGGACAGCCCAGCAGCCUCAGGCUGAAGGGUGUUCAGCAGAAGGCUUUCCCGAGGACACUGCAACAAGACUAGGGGUGCUCCAGGUGAGGGCCAGAGGCUCUGGGACGUGCUGGCUCCACAGCCAGCCUGACUCGGCAUAGAUGGGGCACAGUAAAUAUUGGCUGGACAGGUGGGCGAUAGCUGUACAGCGCCUUACACGUGAGCAAGAGGCAAAGUCCACGUCAGCUGAACAUUGUGUGCAGCGGUGAUUUUUGCUGAUUUCUGACAGCAGACUGAGCCAACAAAAUGGGACCACUAUGAAGGGAACAGAGACCUUCUCUUCCCAAGUUUCUGUGGCCUGUUAAGCGAUAACGCCCUCUGGAUGCUGGCUGUCUGAUACCUCACUUUCUUGUGUGUGCUUUUCCACAUUGUUUGAAUGUUUUAUUUGGGCAUGUAUCAUUUAAAAGGGAAGCUCUUUUUCUGAAUGCUAACACUCUUGAUUUUCAUAAAACAAAAUCCCGAAGCAGGAAGAAGAGUCAUCUCCGUGUGGAACAAUCAGGAAAACCUCCAACCACAUGGCACUGCUGAGAGCUGGUGACUUCCUACUGUGUCGGAGCAGACGAUGCGGCUUGCUCAUCACCCAGUGCGUGAUGACACAGGCUGUCAGCUAGUGUUAGGGCCUGUGUGGCUGCUAGUUUUCCUAGGAAGGACACAGAAGUCCAGACAAAGGGACCCUUGAGGACGGGAACACCAGGAAUUCAUGGCAUUUUGUGGAAAACCUUAAAAUAGUUUCCUUGGAGUAAAAGUGUUUUGCAUCAUCAGAAAGUUUCAUUUGUCCUUGGGAUUCUGUUACCUGAU
ensembl:lncRNA